UGAGGGAGGGUUGGGGAGGAAGAGGGACAAAGGGCUUCCAGGAACUGCUGACCAGCUUUCCAGACGAGACAGCUCACGUCUGCUGGGCCACCACUUUCCAGGGAGCUGCUGGCACUGCUCAGAGACCCCCAAGGCUCCCACCAGCCCAGGUGCAAAGGGAGCAGGUCAGACUGGGUCCGCGUGUCCGAGCCCCUCCUCCUUCGGCCUUUGCCCAGCCUGCGCCUCCUGGACACCGUCCUCCACUCCCUCCUCCCUCCCACCCGCUCUGAAGCAGCUCAGCCUCCUGUCCCCUGGAUCGCUUUCCCUUCCUGGGGUCACCCUCCCGAGGGGGACCGAGAGCCCAGCUUGCCUAGCACCGUCUGAUUUCAGAACUGAAAGCCCUCAUUCCCAGCAGCCCCCCAUCCCACGGAAGCCAGGAUGGUUCCUUGCACUGUCCCUUCCUCAAGGACACCAGGCUCAGCCCCUUCCUGUCCCUGCCAGCACCGUGGCCCUCAUCAGGGUCCGUUCACUUUCCCACCGCUCUCACAUGGGGUCAUAGGAGCAGGGACAACCCGUUAGGGCCGCAGUGCCUGCUGGGAGGGGCACUCAGUAGGUACCAAAUAAAGACCCUCUGAACUAA